rnacentral:rRNA from 1 species
UGAGUAGGUUGAUAAUUAAGUUAGAUGUGAAAUACCUGGGCUUAACUUAGGGGUUGCAUAUAAUACUGAUUAUCUAGAGUAUGAGAGGGGUAAGAGGAAUUUCCGGUGUAGCGGUGAAAUGCGUAGAUAUCAGAAGGAACACCAGAGGCGAAGGCGUCUUACUGGCUUAAUACUGACACUGAGUCACGAAAGCGUGGUUAGCAAACA